rnacentral:rRNA from 1 species
AUACGAAGGGUGCAAGCGUUAAUCGGAAUUACUGGGCGUAAAGCGCGCGUGGGUGGUUUUGUAAGUUGGAGGUGAAAGCCCCGGGCUCAACCUGGGAAUUGCCUCCAAAACUGCAUGACUAGAGUACGGUAGAGGGUAGUGGAAUUUCCUGUGUAGCGGUGAAAUGCGUAGAUAUAGGAAGGAACACCAGUGGCGAAGGCGACUACCGGGACUGAUACUGAAACUGAGGUGCGAAAGGGUGGGGAGCAACAAGGAUUAAAUCCCCUGGUAGUCCACGCCGUAAACGAUGUCAACUAGCCGUUGGGAUCCUUGAGAUCUUAGUGGCGCAGCUAACGCAUUAAGUUGACCGCCUGGGGAGUACGGCCGCAAGGUUAAAACUCAAAGGAAUUGACGGGG